AGAUUAUCUACAGCCUUUUGACACCGAGAAUGUUGUUGUUUGUCAGUAUGAUAAGAUAAAUAGGAGCAAAAACAAAUGGAAGUUCCACUUAAAAGAUGGUAUCAUGAACCUCCAAGGCAAAGAUUUUGUUUUUCAUAAAGCUUUAGGUGAUUCUGAGUGGUAGUUAGUCCUUUUUUUUUUAAAUCAUGUAUCAUAAAUGUCGUGACAAUCGUCAUCUGUCUCACUAUAAAAUUCAAAUUGCUCCUGUAAUUAUAUAUAAGGAAAAAAAAAAAAGUAUUACUAUAUUUGGCAUAUUUUGAACCAUGUGCCAGUGUUAUGUACAGUGUGGAUUGUCAUCAAAACGAUAUUCUCAUACUUGAAAAGAAGUUUAGUCAGUGUCACUAUUUCUUCAAGAUACUUAUCAUCCUUCAAGAUUUGCUUUGUGUUAUUUUAAGAAUGCAUGUCCUAAUUUUUCAAAUUUUCAUUUAAACAUUUCUUGUUCUCUCCCUGCCCUCCCUAAAAAUGCACGAGGAAAAUACAUUUGAUUCAAUGUAUGAUUUCAUAAUGGCUCUGAAAAUUAAAAAACUUUCACAUCUUUAUCUUUUUUAUUAUGUGUAUCUUUCCUUUUAUGUAUUUUGGGAAAACAUUACUUAUACUCCUAUAAUUCUGUUUUUUAUGUAUUUAUUUUUUUUAUCUUGAAAUAUGCAAUUCUCUCUGUAAGCGUGUUUUGGUUACUAGUAUAAUUAUAUGCAAUUAAUAACUGUAAAUAUUUAUUAUUAUAAGUGCCUGUCAGAAAGAAAAGGUACACUGGAUAUUUUUGUUUGCUAUCUUACUUUCUCAUUAUAGUUGCAGCUUGUUAAAAUGCCAGUGAAUAUUCUCUUUUUAUGUGCAAUGUGCAAAGAGCGUAAAUCCCAUCACUAUGUGAGAAACUGAUAUCUAGUUGCAUCUACAGCUUCCUUCUAUUUAUUUUGAAUGGAAAGUAAAACCAGUUUUGUAAUAAGUUAUUUCUUCUAUAAUUCACUUCUUGCAUGAAAGAUUAUUCCAUAAUUAAAAAAAAAAAAAACUGAAUAUUGUUUUUACUUUAAACUGAUACUUUCAAAUAAUCCCUCCCCCUCUCCAAAAAAAAAUUGUAUUUAACAGUCUAUUCGUAUAAUUGUUUGUUGAAAUAUUAUUACAUUUUUUAGAAUCUCAGUUCAGUUACCAAUAAAAGAUAUGUACUAAAAAUAGCUGCUUAAGUAGAACAUUAAAAAUUUAGUUUGAUUAGUCAUUUAGGUAUUUUCUUUCUUAAUUUUUUUUAAAUCAUACACAACUCCUGUAUUACAUUAAUUUAAAAAUAAUAUUACAUGAAAUUACAAAUAUGUAUGAUGUAGCAGCCAAAAUGCCACUCCGAGAAAUAGCAGCUAUAGAAAUACAAUUACCUAAGGCUUUUAUUUAUAAAUAUUGAAAAUGUUCUGUUUUCCCUUUACAAAUUUUUACUUCAUUUACAAAGUUCUUGAAUCUUCCUUCCUUGAAAAAUAUUUAUGUUUUUUCAAGUGAUAAUAAUGUAGCCUGUGUCAUGAAAGUAAAAAAGCAUCAUUCUAAAAGAGUGUUUUAUCCAGAAUACCAUCGUUGUUUCAAGCAAAAUAACCACUUAUAGGUAUGAAAAUGGAUUGACUUUUUGUGGAGCUUCAGUUCUUGUCAACAAUAGCUCAGUUUUGUACACAUUGAUAAUACAAUAGCUUCUCAGUCAAUCCAUAAAAAUAGAACUAUAGCUUGAUUGCAGAUUUAUUGCAUUUUAUCUUUCUUGUUAAAACAAAUUUUUGGUUGAAUAUAUUUAUGUUUCUAGAAAUAUAUUUAGAUUCUCUAUAUGGUGUAACAAUCUCAAAACAUACUUACAAAUUAUUAACAACUAUUUAAUGCAAUUAAGCAAAAUAAUACUCAAAAAUGAACUUGUACUGUUUUAUAUUAUCAUGACAACUCUCUUACAUAUCACUGUCCUGAUUCUAGAUGAAUGUAACAUAUAUGCUGCAACCACUUAAAUUAAUAUUGUGUGUUUCAACAGUGCUACAACAUCCACUGAAACUAACCUUAUAUGCAAUGAGGCAUCAAUGUGACUUAUAUUUCUGCCUGCAUUUUGGCUGCACCCUUUUCAGGGUUUUUCAAAUAUAUUGCAUGACUAAAUGUCUCUUUAAUGAUUGCUUGUAUGCAGAUUCAGUUUAAGAAAUGUAUGAAUUAGAUAGGCUUUCAGACCACAAUAAUUUUCGUCUCAUAAUAUCUUUUUGUAAAUUUAUACAAAAUCUAAAUUUGUAUGCUUCUCUUGUAUGAAGAAAGCCCAAGUUCAUAAAUUAUGCCUUUUAAAAAUCUUUUAGAAAAAUGUCCCAUCCAUACUGUACAAAAUUGACUUUCAAAAAUUUGUCAGAAUAAUGAUUUAAAGCACUUAUAUCUGAAGAUUUAUAUAAACUUGUCAUUAAAUACAAAAUUUUAGUUUUUCUGCAGAUGUUAAUUUAAACCCAAGAUUUCUAAAUUAAUGGAUUUCCAAAAGACAUAAAAGGUAAUUCAAAUAGUUUUUAAAAUAUUAGAAACUUUCAUUCAAAAACUUAAUAUAUCAAUAUAUCUGUGUCUAACAUUUGUAUAUUGUUUCCAAAAUACCAAAGUUUUGAGGAAUUUUAAAAGUUCAAGUCCACCUUUAAAUAAUUGAACCAUGAAAAACAAUUUUUAACACUUCUUUCAGUGGAACCUAUAUAAAAAUCUUCUGUGGCCUAUAUACAUUUUUGAUAAAAUUAUCUUAGUUUAAAGGUUUAUCUUAUUUGAUUCAUUUCUGAAACUAGAACCUGGGAUCCAUGAGAAAUCAUUCAAAAGAUAUUUAGUCAUUGAUUGGGAGAUAUAUGUUUGUAACAGUGCCGACUAUAUUAAGUUUUCUUUAAAUUUUGUAAGAAAUUAAAUGUUUUUAAAUUCUGUGGUCUUUCAUUUUUACAAGUUACGUUGUUUUGUGAAGUUUUCCUGAAACUAAAAUAAUGUUUUUAGAUUUAGAAACUUUUGAAGACAAUGCUCUGACUUUCUAUUUUCAUAAUUUUGUAUGAAAUUUAAUACUUUAUGUACCAAAGCAGAUGAUUAUUCAAGUUUGUCUUCACAAAUAAAAAUUUCAAAAAUACUUAAAGUUUGAUCAAAAAUUAACACUUAAAAAUGAAACUUAACUGUGAUAUAAACUUCAUUGAACUAAAGGAAUAAACUGAAUUUUUUAUAUUUCUAUGUAUUUUGUAAUCCUUUAAUAAAAGUAAUUUGAUACUUUUCAUCUGUUGCUGUGCAAGUUGUCCAGUAAACAGUACUGUAUUCCUUGUAAAUGUUAGGUGAUUCCAUGAUAAAUUAAUUAUAAUAAUGUUUAGAACUGUUAAUAUAAUCGGCAGCAACAUAUGAAAUCUCUUGUAAAUUAAAUUGAAGCUGUGUAAUUAGCAUUGCAAGUAAGCAGUCCAGCUCUUCCAAUAAAUUUUUGUUUUAUUUUAAAAACAUGAAUUUAUGUUAUUGAAAUGCAUUAUCAUAUAAAAAUGUGGUUUAUGUUAAAUUACAUAUGUAAAUAUCAUAGGAUUUAAAUAUGGUGUUGACUUUUAGAGACACUGUAGUAAUUUGUUUUCUUUCCUUUACAGUAUCAGAUUAAAAUAAAUUGUGCAAUUUGAAUACUGAAA